AACGUCGUGAGACAGUUCGGUCUCUAUCCUCUGCGCGCGCAGGAAUUUUGAGAAGACCUAUCCCUAGUACGAGAGGACCGGGAUGGACGAACCUCUGGUGUGUCAGUUGUCCUGCCAAGGGCACCGCUGAUUAGCUACGUUCGGGAAAGAUAACCGCUGAAAGCAUCUAAGCGGGAAGCUUGCUUCAAGAUGAGAAUUCCAUGACUUAGGUCGAGAGGCUCGCAGCUAGACUACUGCGUUGAUAGGCCGGAUGUGGAAGUGGGGACUAAAGACCCAUGGAGCUGACCGGUACUAAUAAGCCAAUAAUUUGAUAACAC
rnacentral:rRNA from 1 species